rnacentral:lncRNA from 1 species
CCAUGGUAUAUGGAGGUUCCCAGGCUAGGGGAUGAAUCAUAUCUACAGCUGCUGGCCUAUACCACAGCUCAUGCAAAGUCAGAUCCUCAACCCCCUGAGUGAGGCCAGGGAUUGAACUUGUAUCCUCAUGGAUACUAGUCAAGCUCAUUUCCACCGAGCCGCAAAAGGAACUCCUCAGGUUCCAUUACUUAUAAAGUAUAGUAAUUGCCUAUGAAAUGGCUAAAGUUCCUUCUAUUGUUUAUUUUAUUUAUUUAUUUUUUAAUUAUAGUUGAUUUACAAUGUUUCUUCAAUUUGAACCAAUCACACACAGAUCCCUGUGCUAUACAGUAAGGCCCUAUUGCCCAUCCAUUCCAAAUGUAGCAGUUUGUAUCCCCUAACCCCAAAUUCUCCAUCCAUCUUCCUCCCCCCAAUACUAUUUAUUUUAAAUACAUUUUCAUUCAUUAAUAGGUAGCUAUCCUAUAAUCAUUCAUAUUUAGAGAUACCUACACUUCUACUGUUGGAUGACUUAUGUCUACCAAGUACACAUGUUGAAAGCCUAAGCCCCAAUAUCUCUGAAUGUGACCACACUCAAAAAUAGGUGUUUGCAGAUGUAGUAAAUCUAAGAUGAAUUCAUCUUGAAUUAAGGUGGAUUAGUAGAAACAUCUCCUGGUCCUGAAGGCCUUAAAGAAAGCUUCUCUCUUAGAUGUUUCUGAAAUUUAAUUCAUAUAAAUAUUAUUCCCAAGGAAUUAAGGCUCAAGAUUAUUACAAAAUUUGGUUAUAAAUAUUUUAUAUACAACUCUCUUUCUUCAAAAGUAAAUGCUCCUCCCUCCUAAUUUAAAGACAGAAUGGAUUCAGUGGAGUGUAUAAUUAAGUUAAGGUAGGACUACUACUCUAGAUUUGCUAAGCUUUUAUACGAACCAUUAUUAUAAAAAUUACCAGCUCAGAAGUGUUUUUAUAUUAGAAUCCAAAUUCACAUAGUGAACAUAAAUUCUUGGAUAAUUCAGACUGAAUUGAUAUUUUUAAUGAAACAGUGAUAGAUUUCUUCUUGACCUUACCAGUAUAAAGUAUAAGAUAAGAACUUUGAGUUAGAUAAAAUUUAAAAUUAUGUGUCCAGUCAUUUGAGUUACACUUCUGACAGGUCUGUAGUUGGAUAUUUUUGACUAAUUUUUUUUUGUCAUUUUCUUUUUAGGGGUGCACCCACAGCAUAUGGAGGUUCCCAGGCUAGGGGUCUAAUUGGAGCUGUUGCUGCACAACUACCCCACAGCUACAGCAAUGACAGAUCCUUAACCCACUGACUGAGGCCAGGGAUCGAACCCAAAACCUCCUGGUUCCUAGUUGGAUUUGUUUCCACUGUGCCACGAUGGGAACUCCACCUUUGACUGAUUUUUAAAUACGAUUGAAUAUUCAAACAUUGGUUAUGGUGUGUGUGAAUGUGUGUGUGUAUGUGUGUGUGUGUGUGUGUAUGUGUGUCUGUAUGUAUUUAUAUCUUUAUAGAGUUUCCAUGUCUUUUGUCCAACUUACUCAUUUUUUUCUGCUUUAAGAAUAUACUAUUUACUGUGUGUAAGACGGUAUGAACAGAAAGUAUGUCUGUUGGGGAUGUAUGCUCAUGAGUUUUGCUGAUUUACUAAAAUGACUGCAUAUGAUAGAAAAUUCUCAAUCACUCCCCUUUAAGAACCUGAGUGGGAGAGAAGCUACUUCUGUUGGUUCAGUCAUAAUGAAUGUGGGUGACUGAGACUAUACUAAAAGGAACAUGAUCAAAUAUACUAAGGGGAAAAAGAGUACAUUUAUCUUAAGAAAAAUGUUAUUCCAUAAAUUAAAAGAGUAUCAUAAAAGACAAAACUGAAUGGACAUAGAAAGCUUUAGAUGGUUUUUAGGAAGUAAAUUCUAUUUGCUUUGGAUGUAAAUGUGUGUAUACACACACAUAUAAAUUUCAAAUAAUCAGUCUGAAUUGAAGCAAUAUUAAAAUUUGGACAACAUUUGGACAGUCAAGGUUUGAUGGGCUUAUUUAAACAAAUUUAGCAAUGUUUUAAGAUAUAAACUUACAUUCAAGCAAGACUAGGUUUUGGUAUUUUAUCUGUUAGAAUGACAUAAGUUGAUCUUGAUAUAUUUAUUUCGCUUUUAAUGAGAAGCAGUGCAUAUUUAACUAUAUUUUGGGUAAUUUUCUGAGUAAUCAGAGAUUCUGUAAGCAACUCACAAAGUGGGUUGGAAACAGUUCUUAGUAGAAAGAAGGAAAAAAGUUCAUAGGAAUAAAUAUUGCUAUGUUAAACUUUGAUCCAGUCUUUGAUGGGGAUGGGGCAUUGUAUGCACUACAAUGUCAAUCAUAUUUUUAACUGUGGAUCACUGUCAUAGGUAUGAAAGCCACUUCUCUAACUUAUCUUGUCCUGGUUUUUUAAUAUUUUCUCUUCAGUCACACUAGAAAGUUGAACUCCUGAAGAAUGAUACUUUCUUCAAGAUGUGAAAAACCUGAGUAGGCACUUUAUAAUAUUAUAAACUAUAAAAGAACAAUUAAAAAGGGGCAACAGUGUGGGAAGUUAGAAGUGGACAGAGCAUCAAAUUCAAGGAAGAGGGAAAAGAAAGUGGAAUAAUGGAACAGGAAGAAAGAGAAGGAAGACAGCCUGAAAAAGGAGAGGGGAAAGUUUUUCCUAGCCCAGAGACCACUUGCUUAGGAAAAAUGAAGAUGAAGACAUAGGAAGAAAAGAGGAAUGGAAAUGUAAUGGGUUUGAGUUGCAUCAUGUGAAUCACAGAGAAAAAUCCUGGUGUUUCAAGUUCUUUGUAUUUCGAGCUUCCAUGGUUCGAACUGGGGAUGUGCGACCUCACACAUACAUGUUUUCAGAUAUUCUGUGUAUGUACUCUCAAAGAUCCUGCCCUCCUUUUGCAGCCCUGGCAGAGACCCAAAGGAGGGGUAAAAUAUGGGCAGAAUGCAGCAUAACAACAGGAAGACUAAGUUCAAUAUUCACUUAGGAAACCUCCCGUCAGGAACUGAUAGGAGUUCCUGUAUGUGAGACAGGCUCCCGAUAAAGAGAGAGACAGGUUCUCCCUGUUCUGAAGCCCUAAAGAAGUAUGCCCUACUAUGCAUUUCUAACAAUCACUUCAUAAAAUAUUAUUCCUUAGGAAUGAGGCUCAUGAAUACUAUAAUCUUUGAUUAUAAAUACUUCGUAUGUAACUG